AUUGAACGCUGGCGGCAGGCCUAACACAUGCAAGUCGAGCGGAUGAAGGGAGCUUGCUCCUGGAUUCAGCGGCGGACGGGUGAGUAAUGCCUAGGAAUCUGCCUGGUAGUGGGGGAUAACGUCCGGAAACGGGCGCUAAUACCGCAUACGUCCUGAGGGGGAAAGGGGGGGAUCUUCGGACCUCCCGCUAUCGGAUGAGCCUAGGUCGGAUUAGCUAGUUGGUGGGGUAAAGGCCUACCAAGGCGACGAUCCGUAACUGGUCUGAGAGGAUGAUCAGUCACACUGGAACUGAGACACGGUCCAGACUCCUACGGGAGGCAGCAGUGGGGAAUAUUGGACAAUGGGCGAAAGCCUGAUCCAGCCAUGCCGCGUGUGUGAAGAAGGUCUUCGGAUUGUAAAGCACUUUAAGUUGGGAGGAAGGGCAGUAAGUUAAUACCUUGCUGUUUUGACGUUACCAACAGAAUAAGCACCGGCUAACUUCGUG
rnacentral:rRNA from 1 species